rnacentral:lncRNA from 1 species
CCAGCAGGGCUGCCGGUGGGUGGGAGGCACUGGGAGCUGGGGGGGGAGAGUGUUGAUGGGGGGCUGCUGACGUAUUACUGUGGCUCUUUGGCAAUGUACAUUGGUAAAUUCUGGCUCCUUCUCAGACUCAGAUUGGCCACCCCUGUUCCAGUGCAUUAAACUACCAUACUUUUACCUUCAGAAUUAGCUUAUACUCAUCAAUAGUUAAGAGCUAUGUCUAUAAUGUGAUAAAAGAAAAGAGUUUAUAGAGAGAUCCUGACAGCUCAGUAACUACAUCUGUUUCUCUGCAUUACAAUCAUUUCAGUGUAUAGGUGCAAUUUAUCUCGCUUCUCCUUUUGGAAGAUUCAUAUUCCCUCCCACGAACUCGGAAUCAUUAGAAACAGAUAAUGGUUGUGUCCAGAAGAAGACUCAUCUCUCCAGCACCUGCCAGUAGCCAUCAUCAGCACAGGAAACCUUAUUCUGGUCUUUGAUGUGCAUACAACAUUUAACCGUACAGGGAGACAGGGAAACAUUACCAGGAAAGGCGAUGUGAAGAGUACAAACAAAGCCCCCCUCCAGGACGGCAGGUGCCCUGAACAGCACAGCUGAAGGGCUGAGCCCUGAACUCUGAAACAGAAGCUGUCCAAACACUUAAAGGGAAGAUUUGAGAGAGACAGCUGCAAGCAAGGAUAUUCUGAGUAUGUUUACAUAGAGUUGGUGAUCUAUGGUGUAGUUGGAAAAUUGGAAGAGAUGGUUCCAAUAACAGGUUUGGGGACAUAUGAGAUAAAAUUCCUGGUGGAUUUAAGCUGUUACAGUUUUCUGUAAUAUGGCAAAUUUUUAAUGGAAAACUCAGGGCACACAUUAAAAUACUGCAUGUUAGCGCACUAAUACACUUUUUUUAGGCCCUAUUGGAAAUUCAUCCACUAGGAGACAGUCUGAGGCUAUGAGAACUCUUUUUACAAAGGUCUGUUUAAAUUAAGCUUGACAGAGGUCCCAGAGGUAAAUAACAAUGGCUACUCUGACUCCUAAAAGCAAUAACUGAGGCACACGUAAAAUAUAAUAUCAGCUGUUAUGUCUUAACAGGGACUAAAAGCAACAUUUAACAAGUGUUGUGUAAUGGCAGGUUUGAUGUUAAGAUCAAACAGCUUGUGAAUGCAUUUUUGAAAAACAUUCUAGAAUGGGUAUCAUGACAUAAAUUGCACAAUACUCAGGAGACUGUAGGAAGGUUUUACUAACAGAUGAAAAGACAUGGGGUUUGAGAACAAAGAGCACAAUCUGAGUAUAGAGGAACUAUAAGAUCAACUGAGCAAAGAUGGGGAGAAAUGUAAACGUUUUAAGACAAAUAUAAAAUGCAAACUCUGGGUUGCUAAUAAGUAAACUUCAGGCUUGUAUUAGAAGUCUAUGACUGGAACUUAAAUUUACCUGCUGCUUUUCAGCAGUAAUCUGGGACUCAAAUCCUCCACAACCAAGACUCACAAUGAUUACAUUAUUAUUGCAUGGUAUUAAAGUUCCAUAUUAGCCAGCCUUCAGUGUAAGCUCAGUUAU